rnacentral:rRNA from 1 species
GUGAGGAAUAUUGGACAAUGGGCGCAAGCCUGAUCCAGCCAUGCCGCGUGCAGGAAGACGCAUCUAUGGUGUGUAAACUGCUUUUGUACGGGAAGAAACACUCCCUCGUGAGGGAGCUUGACGGUACCGUAAGAAUAAGGAUCGGCUAACUCCGUGCCAGCAGCCGCGGUAAUACGGAGGAUCCAAGCGUUAUCCGGAAUCAUUGGGUUUAAAGGGUCCGUAGGCGGUUUCAUAAGUCAGUGGUGAAAGCCCAUCGCUCAACGAUGGAACGGCCAUUGAUACUGUUAGACUUGAAUUACAAGGAAGUAACUAGAAUAUGUAGUGUAGCGGUGAAAUGCUUAGAGAUUGCAUGGAAUACCAAUUGCGAAGGCAGGUUACUACUUGUGGAUUGACGCUGAUGGACGAAAGCGUGGGGAGCGAACAGGAUUAGAUACCCUUGUAGUCC